GCUAGUUGGUGAGGUAAUGGCUCACCAAGGCGACGAUCCGUAACUGGUCUGAGAGGAUGAUCAGUCACACUGGAACUGAGACACGGUCCAGACUCCUACGGGAGGCAGCAGUGGGGAAUAUUGGACAAUGGGCGAAAGCCUGAUCCAGCCAUGCCGCGUGUGUGAAGAAGGUCUUCGGAUUGUAAAGCACUUUAAGUUGGGAGGAAGGGCAUUAACCUAAUACGUUAGUGUUUUGACGUUACCGACAGAAUAAGCACCGGCUAACUCUGUGCCAGCAGCCGCGGUAAUACAGAGGGUGCAAGCGUUAAUCGGAAUUACUGGGCGUAAAGCGCGCGUAGGUGGUUUGUUAAGUUGGAUGUGAAAUCCCCGGGCUCAACCUGGGAACUGCAUUCAAAACUGACAAGCUAGAGU
rnacentral:rRNA from 1 species